UAGUGGAGUGCUUCCCAUGUGGUAUUGGUGUGCUGGAUAUCCCUUCACUGGUAGCCUGGUAACAUACACUCCCAGGUCUUUCUCUGCCUCUGUGGUGGAUAGUGGAGUGUUUCCCAUGUGGUAUUGGUGUGCUGGAUAUCCCUUCACUGGUAGCCUGGUAACAUACACUCCCAGGUCUUUCUCUGCCUCUGUGGUGGAUAGUGGAGUGUUUCCCAUGUGGUAUUGGUGUGCUGGAUAUCCCUUCACUGGUAGCCUGGUAACAUACACUCCCAGGUCUGUCUCUGCCUCUGUGGUGGAUAGUGGAGUGUUUCCCAUGUGGUAUUGGUGUGCUGGAUAUCCCUUCACUGGUAGCCUGGUAACACACUCCCAGGUCUUUCUCUGCCUCUGUGGUGGAUAGUGGAGUGUUUCCCAUGUGGUAUUGGUGUGCUGGAUAUCCCUUCACUGGUAGCCUGGUAACAUACACUCCCAGGUCUUUCUCUGCCUCUGUGGUGGAUAGUGGAGUGUUUCCCAUGUGGUAUUGGUGUGCUGGAUAUCCCUUCACUGGUAGCCUGGUAACAUACACUCCCAGGUCUUUGUCUGCCUCUGUGGUGGAUAGUGGAGUGUUUCCCAUGUGGUAUUGGUGUGCUGGAUAUCCCUUCACUGGUAGCCUGGUAACAUACACUCCCAGGUCCUUCUCUGCCUCUGUGGUGGAUAGUGGAGUGUUUCCCAUGUGGUAUUGGUGUGCUGGAUAUCCCUUCACUGGUAGCCUGGUAACAUACACUCCCAGGUCUUUCUCC